rnacentral:rRNA from 1 species
GACGAACGCUGGCGGCGUGCUUAACACAUGCAAGUCGAACGGUAAGGCCCUUCGGGGUACACGAGUGGCGAACGGGUGAGUAACACGUGGGUGAUCUGCCCUGCACUUCGGGAUAAGCCUGGGAAACUGGGUCUAAUACCGGAUAGGACCACUGCCUGCAUGGGUGGUGGUGGAAAGCUUUUGCGGUGUGGGAUGGGCCCGCGGUCUAUCGGCUUGUUGGUGGGGUGAUGGGCUACCAAGGCGACGACGGGUAGCCGGCCUGGGAGGGUGACCGGCCACACUGGGACUGAGAUACGGCCCAGACUCCUACGGGAGGCAGCAGUGGGGAAUAUUGCACAAUGGGCGCAAGCCUGAUGCAGCGACGCCGCGUGGGGGAUGACGGCCUUCGGGUUGUAAACCUCUUUCAGCACCGACGAAGCGCAAGUGACGGUAGGUGCAGAAGAAGGACCGGCCAACUACGUGCCAGCAGCCGCAGUAA